rnacentral:misc_RNA from 1 species
UGGACGUUGAAAUGUUGGCUCACUUUGAUGAGUGGCAACGCACUGGCCAGGAUAAUGUUUAUGAAGCUCAGGAUCAAUGGCCCACUGAGUUGCGUCGUUCACGUGUAAUUUCAGCAGUUGAUUAUGUGCAGGCACAAAGGGCACGGAGAAAAUUAAUUGAGGAAGUUAAAAACAGUUUCACAGUCGACGCAUUCAUUGGCAACGCAACUGACUGGGAAAAAGUUUGCUUGGGGAAUCUUGUAGGUCUGCCAGUAGUUGUUGUUCCAACUGGAUUUAAAAAUAUAUCCAAUCCACCUUCAAAGGAAAGUCGGAGGAGAACCACUAUGAACACUGGCAUUUAUGCUCGUCCUGACCAUGAUCACAUUGCUCUGGCAUUAGCAAUAGCUUACCAGUCAGUCACUGAUCACCAUAAGCAGCGCCCACCAAUAGACGAUCUUGGGCCAAAUGACGAGAUAACUGAUCCACCUAAAGUCGUUGUCCCUCCCAGAAGGUUGCAUCCAUAAAGUUUUCAAACCCCACAAUUUAUUGUAUUGUGAAGUUUACAUGAACUAAAGAAAACCUUAUCAAUUCCUAUACAUUGUUAUCUGCACAUACUUAAAACUUG